UCCUACGCGGCACCCCUCGUUCCCCCGAAAAUGAUUCGCCCCCAAAUUUAUGCACAACAAUGAAGCUUUGAUUUUAGGUCAGUGUGAAGCUAAAGAGUGAAGACUGCAGCAGUCCACAGUAUUUCCCACUCAUUUUCUCGGCUUCCAAACAGAAAAAUAUUAGGAAGGAAUUUUGGUAGUAAGUACUAAAUCUGUGCUGUUUCGUGGUUUCUCGCGAGACAGACAUGAAUGGGGAGGGGAGAGGAGAGGAAAUGGAGGUGGAGGAGGUUGCGAGGGAGAAGUUGGUUUACAUGUGGGGAUAUCUUCCUGGAGCUCUACCACAAAGGUCUCAUAUUUUGUCUCCGGUAGCCGUGCGGAGUCCGGCAUCCGCUGAUUCCGUAGGGCAUGCGUGGAAGGAUGUUUGCGGAAGGGGUUGUGGUUUCGCGAUGGCAAUUUCUGAGUCUGGAAAGCUCAUAACAUGGGGUUCAACGGAUGAUCUAGGUCAAAGCUAUAUCACAUCUGGAAAGCAUGGGGAACUCCCAGAGCCUUUCCCUCUUCCAACUGAAGCUUCUAUUGUAAGAGCUGCAGCAGGUUGGGCCCAUUGCAUUGCAGUUACUGAUAGUGGAGAAGUUUAUACCUGGGGAUGGAAAGAGUGCAUUCCUUCUGGAAAGGUGAUUGGUGAUACAUUGACUGUGGCAACAUUGGAAAAAGAGACAUUUGAAAGACAAAACGUAUUUUUGACAGAACAUGUGAGUGCCAAAUCACAAGGCUCACGAUCCAACAGUGGAACUUUGACUAGUAUUGAUGGUAGAGGAGGGGGAGAUGACGGUACAAAGAGAAGGAGAAUAUCAUCAGUAAAACAAGCACCUGAAAGCUCAUCCUCUGGUGAUGAAACUCUCUCAGCGUUGCCUUGUCUUGUUGCAUUGAACCCUGGUGUGAGGAUCACAACCGUUGCUGCUGGCGGGCGGCAUACCUUAGUAUUGUCAGAUAUAGGACAAGUGUGGGGUUGGGGCUAUGGAGGUGAAGGGCAGCUUGGUUUAGGCUCUAGGAUACGUAUGGUGUCCUCUCCACAUCCUGUGCCUUGCAUUGACCCAUCUUCCUAUGCAAAAGAUAGAACUGCAGCACUUACUUGGGGAUGCAUGAGUUCAGAAGAGGGACAGAGUUUUAGAGUUCCUGGAACUUGUGUGAGGGGGAUUGCUUGUGGAGGGCGACAUAGUGCAGUAAUAACAGAUGCUGGAGCGGUACUUACUUUUGGAUGGGGACUCUAUGGACAGUGUGGGCAAGGAAGCACAGAUGAUGAGCUAAGCCCAACUUGUGUGUCUUCCUUACUGGGGAUCCGUAUAGAAGGUGUUGCAGCAGGAUUGUGGCACACUGUAUGCAUUUCUGCUGAUGGUGAUGUGUAUGCAUUUGGCGGGAAUCAGUUUGGUCAGUUGGGAACUGGGAGUGAUCAAGCUGAGACUCUCCCUAGGCUUCUCGAUACUCCAAAUUUGGAAAAUUUGCAAGCGAAGGUCGUCUCUUGUGGGGCUCGUCACAGUGUUGUAGUCACAGGUCAACAGCUAAUUCAAUUUCGGAAAAGAAUACCAACAGAAGAAUCAAUCUUUCAUUUGGAGGGUGACAAUGGUUUUUUUAAUGAUAUUGGGUUGGCUUUAGGACCACAUGAAAAUCUGUGUUUGAGAGGCUGCAGCAGGUGACAAUGCUUCUUGAGCUGAUUUCGGCCUAAUGUUUAAUUAGAUGUUAUGACAAAGAUCGGUUCAUUCAUCGGAGGAUGGAAAAGUGUUCAGCUGGGGAUGGAACAAGUAUGGACAGCUUGGUCUUGGAGAUGUGAUUGAUCGCAACAUUCCCUCCCAGAUCACUAUUGAGGGCUGUGUCCCUAAAAAUAUUGCUUGUGGCUGGUGGCACACCC